UGCAUAGGAAGGGGCUGAUUAUAGAA
rnacentral:piRNA from 1 species